UCGGCGUAAACCACCCCUCUCAGUCGGAUUACAAUUUCCUUCCGAUCCUGCCGAAUCCGAUCAGAAUAUUCCGACUGACAGGUUUACAUGACCCAUUUUCAGUCCGAUCGGCCGUUUAUUCCGACUAAAGUCCAUGUAAACGUAGCUACUGAGAUAUGCCUUUACUUUAGGGAGGGAGUUCUUGCAGGAUUUCUUUGGGCUGAAGUUCUACAUAUCCUCUGAGACGGUUCUUUAAAACAUCAGAGACAGAUCCAGUUAAAGAAGGAUUCAUGUGAGCGAAGAGUGCCAGAAAAAUGCCAGGAACUGGACCCAAAGGUGAUCAAAAGCAAAACAGAGGAAAUCUGUGAGGAGCAAAUACCUUCUUAGGUAGAAGAUGCUAUGAUUUGUGGAGAGAUGAAGCAUCAUGGUAAAGAUUAGAUGGAUUUAGAUAAGAGGGGAGUUAGAAGAAUGCGAUUUCUAAACCAGAAAUCAUCCAUGUCUGGUUUGGAAAAUCAGCAACAGGAGAAGGUGGAUGUUCUGCAGUAGUGCCUCCUACUGGGAGCAUCUAAAAGAGGCAAAAAUAACUGGAUGACACUGGCAGGUUUUUCUUGGUUAUGAUCAGACUGACAGCUGAAGAAGACGGUGAGCAACAGGUUCUCCAGAGCUCUCCGGUGCUUCUCUGCAGAUCUCCUGAUUGUUUCAUGUUUGUCAGCACAUGGGGGAGACGCCUACACAGACUAUGUAACUCCUCCUUUAUUCAAAACACAGACUGAGCUCUGAUGCAUUGAUAGUUUCAGGCAACAGAACAACAUUUCUGAACGUACAGACAUUCUUUAACAAGAGGUGCCCUCAGUCAAAAUGUUGUUCCCCUUUACUGAUAUUAAUGAGGCUUUUUCUAUUUGUUUAAGAUUUUGAUAAUAAUGAUAACUAGAUUACUGCAAACAUGACAUAAUCUCCUGGAGCAUUCAUGCACCUUCAACUUUUCCACAUUUUGUCACCUUAAUUUACGUAAAUGGAAUUUAACGUGACAGAGCAACACAAAGUUGGCUGCAUUGGUAUUCAACCCCCUUCACUAUGAUGCCCUAAAAACAUCCAAUUAUCGAGUCCAGCUGUGUAGUCUAACUGUAGAUCUUCUGUUUCUGGCCUCAGAGGUUCUUCAGAGAACAUUAAAGAACAACCAGCAUCAUUAAGACCAAAAAACAAAGCAGACAGGUCAGGGAGAAGGUUCUGGUUCAGU